rnacentral:sRNA from 1 species
AAGACAACGACGCGAUGUCCAAUUGGCUUCUUCGGAUCAUAUCCACGGCAUCGGAAGCCAACUCGGGAGAGCCUCAAAACAGCGAAGAAAAU